UAUGGAGGGGACUAGCGUUGUUCGGAAUUACUGGGCGUAAAGCGCACGUAGGCGGAUUUGUAAGUCAGGGGUGAAAUCCCGGGGCUUAACCUCCAGACGUCGACGGAAACCGCGCGGCUAGAGUCCGGAAGAGGAGAGUGGAGUUCCUGGUGUAGCGGUGAAAUGCGCAGAUAUCAGGAAGAACACCAAUGGCGAAGGCAGCUCUCUGGGACGGUACUGACGCUGAGACGCGAAAGCGUGGGGAGCGAACAGG
rnacentral:rRNA from 1 species